AUUGAACGCUGGCGGCAUGCUUUACACAUGCAAGUCGAACGGCAGCGCGGGCUUCGGCCUGGCGGCGAGUGGCGAACGGGUGAGUAAUACAUCGGAACGUGCCCAGUAGUGGGGGAUAGCUCGGCGAAAGCCGGAUUAAUACCGCAUACGACCUGAGGGUGAAAGCGGGGGAUCUUCGGACCUCGCGCUAUUGGAGCGGCCGAUGGCAGAUUAGCUAGUUGGUGGGGUAAGGGCCUACCAAGGCGACGAUCUGUAGCUGGUCUGAGAGGACGUCCAGCCACACUGGGACUGAGACACGGCCCAGACUCCUACGGGAGGCAGCAGUGGGGAAUUUUGGACAAUGGGCGAAAGCCUGAUCCAGCAAUGCCGCGUGUGUGAUGAAGGCCUUCGGGUUGUAAAGCACUUUUGGCGGGAACGAAAAGGACUGUGCCAAUACCACGGUUCGAUGACGGUACCCGCAGAAUAAGCACCGGCUAACUACGUG
rnacentral:rRNA from 1 species